GAGUCCGCGUCCCAUUAGCUAGUUGGUAGGGUAACGGCCUACCAAGGCAACGAUGGGUAGCCGAUUUGAGAGGAUGAUCGGCCACACUGGAACUGAAACACGGUCCAGACUCCUACGGGAGGCAGCAGUGGGGAAUAUUGCGCAAUGGGCGAAAGCCUGACGCAGCGACGCCGCGUGAGGGAUGAAGGUUUUCGGAUCGUAAACCUCUGUCAGAAGGGAAGAAACCGCACCGUGCUAAUCAGCAGUGUACUGACGGUACCUUCAAAGGAAGCACCGGCUAACUCCGUGCCAGCAGCCGCGGUAAUACGGAGGGUGCAAGCGUUAAUCGGAAUUACUGGGCGUAAAGCGCACGUAGGCUGUAGUGUAAGUCAGGGGUGAAAUCCCACGGCUCAACCGUGGAACUGCCUUUGAUACUGCACAACUUGAAUCCGGGAGAGGGUGGCGGAAUUCCAGGUGUAGGAGUGAAAUCCGUAGAUAUCUGGAGGAACAUCAGUGGCGAA
rnacentral:rRNA from 1 species